rnacentral:rRNA from 1 species
UACGGGGGGUGCGAGCGUUGUCCGGAAUCACUGGGCGUAAAGGGCGCGUAGGUGGUUUGAUAAGGGUGUGGUGAAAGUCCGGGGCUCAACCCCGGAUCUGCCAUGCCGACUGUCAAACUCGAGGACUGUAGAGGCAGACGGAAUUCCGGGUGUAGCGGUGGAAUGCGUAGAGAUCCGGAGGAAGACCGGUGGCGAAGGCGGUCUGCUGGGCAGUUUCUGACACUGAGGCGCGACAGCGUGGGGAGCAAACAGG